AGAAUCAACUUAACCAAGUUAUCCAAAAUACUACACUCUAAAAAGUUAGGUCAAGGUGUAAUUAAUAUUUCAGCUAAAAUGAGUUACAAUAAACACUAUUUAAGAAUUUUUAAUCCUAAAAUUAAAAUGAAAAAGAAUUUAAAUGUAAUAUUUUAAUAAAAAUUAAAUAUGAAUAAGAUAACAAAUGUGCACAC
rnacentral:rRNA from 1 species